rnacentral:rRNA from 1 species
AUUGAACGCUGGCGGCAGGCCUAACACAUGCAAGUCGAGCGGAUGAAGGGAGCUUGCUCCUGGAUUCAGCGGCGGACGGGUGAGUAAUUCCUAGGAAUCUGCCUUGUAGUGGGGGAUAACGUCCGGAAACGGGCGCUAAUACCGCAUACGACCUGAGGUAGAAAGAGGGGGAUCUUCGGACCUCACGCUAUUAGAUGAGCCUAGGUCGGAUUAGCUAGUUGGUGGGGUAAAGGCCUACCAAGGCGACGAUCCGUAACUGGUCUGAGAGGAUGAUCAGUCACACUGGAACUGAGACACGGUCCAGACUCCUACGGGAGGCAGCAGUGGGGAAUAUUGGACAAUGGGCGAAAGCCUGAUCCAGCCAUGCCGCGUGUGUGAAGAAGGUCUUCGGAUUGUAAAGCACUUUAAGUUGGGAGGAAGGGCAGUAAGUUAAUACCUUGCUGUUUUGACGUUACCAACAGAAUAAGCACCGGCUAACUUCGUG